GAUGAACGCUGGCGGCGUGCCUAAUACAUGCAAGUCGAGCGAACAGACGAGGAGCUUGCUCCUCUGACGUUAGCGGCGGACGGGUGAGUAACACGUGGAUAACCUACCUAUAAGACUGGGAUAACUUCGGGAAACCGGAGCUAAUACCGGAUAAUAUAUUGAACCGCAUGGUUCAAUAGUUAAAGUCGGUUUUGCUGUCACUUAUAGAUGGAUCCGCGUCGCAUUAGCUAGUUGGUAAGGUAACGGCUUACCAAGGCGGCGAUGCGUAGCCGACCUGAGAGGGUGAUCGGCCACACGGGAACUGAGACAGGGUCCAGACUCCUACGGGAGGCAGCAGUAGGGAAUCUUACGCAAUGGGCGAGAGCCUGACGGAGCAACGCCGCGUGAGUGAUGAAGGUCUUCGGAUCGUAAAACUCUGUUAUUAGGGAAGAACAAAUGUGUAAGUAACUAGGAACGUAUUGACGGUACCUAAUGAGAAAGCCACGGCUAACUACGUG
rnacentral:rRNA from 1 species